CCUAAAAAUAGCCCAUGAUGUCACCCCAAGGCCUUCCCAUUGGCUUGCGUCGCUCUCAGGGGGGCGGGCCCGCCCGUCGCUAUGGAGACCCCACCCUAGAAGNNNNNNNNNNNNNNNNNNNNNNNNNNNNNNNNNNNNNNNNNNNNNNNNNNGUGGGCUGACGUCUUGGGGUUUGACUGUCCUGUGACGGUGGCCGCGGCGACCUGGAGGACUGGAGCUGACGCUCGCAACUUCAGACAGAGGCGGGCUCAAAUUCAGGGCUUACGACCGGGAUGCAAGGGAUACGGAGACCCGGAAGGCUGGGGAACCGGGCCAGUUGUCUGGGCCGAGAACGUGGGGGCGGUAGUAUUUCUCCCCUUUGUGGGGAUCGAAGUCACCCACGGGCAUUUCUCCACAGCGCGGGACCCGGAGGCUGAGAGCUCGGAUUUGUACCCCCCCCCCCCCCCCCCCCCCGCGCGCUUCCGGGGAGCCGGAACGCCGCCCUUAAGUAGUUCUCUUAAGCCUCCUGUGGGGGCGAGUGAAAGUGCGCUUACGGUUAGGGGCGGUGUCGGGGAGUGGACCCCCCACAGUGAGAACGCUUCGAGUUUAUUUCUUGGUCAAGUUCGGGAGCAACCGUUGGAGCCGCUAUCUGGCUGUGCCUAGAGCCGAGUGAUUUGCAUUGCUCGAAACCCGGCACUCCGCUAAGUCCCCGCUGCGCCCCAUUUCAUUCUCCCGCACCAUGAGGGAGAGGGUGCGGGGGGGGGUUGCAGUUUUGCCUUGGUGGGAAGGUUUUUAUGUGAGGUAGUAGGAGCGAACUCAGCGUCCAAUUGGGAAUGAGCGUUUAUUUAGAGACUCCGAAACUCGGGAACCCCGGGAUCGCCUCCUCCACCCCACCCCCCACCCCAUACACCACUCCCGCCCUGAUUUGCUUCCGGGAAGACAAGUCCCGAGAACAGCAGACACGCCAAAAGUCACGCAGCGAAUUAGGGGUAGAAUCAGGAUUUAAAAUCUCUGCUGCUCGCCGGGUGAUGGGCCCAUGUCCUGUGCAGCCUCUAGGAAGCGCUAGACACAUGGAAAAAGAAAUGGGCUACUCCAGCUCUAGGUGCCAGCACUGUUUGUGUUUCCUUGGACACUCCACCCGCUUGCCAGUUGAACACUGGCCUGGUUUGGGCUUUUCUGAGAUGACAGUGAUGAUGACGAUGACGAUGACAACGAUGAGUUAAUAAAGAUUCCUAUCAAGCAGAGGCCGUCUCUUACUGACUUCCCCGGCAGCGACAUUCCCCUGACUGCCUGCGCCAGCGUUUCAUCCAUACAUCCUUACAAAGCCAGUCUCCAAAGGCUGCUUUUGUGUAAAUAAAGCCGAGGACUUCUGCCUGCAGGUCACCACCCUUCUGGCCUGCAGCGCUGGGUGGAUCCGCCUGGCAGGAGCUGGUGCGAACAGCGCUCUGCCUGCCUCUGGCCCCUGGGAGCCAGUCCCAACCUAGCCCUUGCGCAGGGCGGAGAGUUCAGGGACUAAAAGGAGGAGGAAAACCCAGACUAGGAUCGCCAGGGUUCUCACCCAUUGGCAUCCUCAUUCAUCGCACCCAACACAUGGCAGGCCCUUGCCAAGCAGCAUGCCCAGUCCUCUCAGCAACCCUGCAAGGAGCAGUCUCUAUUUUAUGGAAGGGAGUGGAGGCGGCAAGUUUGAACAGCUUGACCAAGGUCGCACAGGCAAAAAGUGAUGUCGGGUUGCAAAGCCCACUCCAUCUGUCAUCAGUCAGAAAGUAAAUACCUUAACUGGAAAGAAUUUAAAAAAAUUCACGCCGAAUGCAGAUUAACAAGACCUAUGAGCUGAACGGGCCAUUCCAGGGCUCGCUUGAGUGCUCAGAAACGGGACUAGCAACCACAGGACAAAUCACAGGAUAUUUUUCCUGGAUGGCAAUUUUACCCCUUUUAAAUUAAAUCGGAUAGGCCCUUAUUAAAACAAAUGGUGAUGCUCAUCAUUAUUUUAGUUGAAAAUAAGAGACUUCAAGGAAAUCUCAGGCCGUUUCCUAAAUCCACCCCCUCUCCCAAUCGCGCAGAAGCACCGUUCCACUCGUUACAUCGGUGGGCAAACUGAGGCCAAUCGAGUCCUACGGAAUGAGGCAGAUUUCCCGACUCCCGGCCUCCGGUGCUUUCCGCUGGAGCCUGGGGUCCUGGUGGCAGACAGGCUUCCUCAGGCAGCUACUGCUGAUUUUUGUCGCUCGGCCAACCAGGUGGAGGCGAUUCGGAGUAAUCUUAGCAGGCGAGGAGCGCGGUCCCGGCUGAAAGCGAAAGGGGCGGCCGGCGGCCGGCUGGCGAGCGUGGCGGGCGGGCGCGGAGCCCCCG
rnacentral:lncRNA from 1 species